rnacentral:misc_RNA from 1 species
AAGUCGUAACAAGGUUUCCGUAGGUGAACCUGCGGAAGGAUCAUUACCAAUAUAGCGAACCGAGCGUUAGCGAGGCUUCGCGAUCAAAUUUGUAUUUAAAACCCAACUCUUUAAAUGUAUAUAUUAUUGUAUUUUAAAUAAUAAAGAUCACUUUCAACAACGGAUCUCUUGGUUCUC